rnacentral:rRNA from 1 species
CCUACGGGUGGCAGCAGUGGGGAAUAUUGGUCAAUGGGCGCAAGCCUGACCCAGCAACGCAGCGUGAAGGAAGAAGGCUUUCGGGUUGUAAACUUCUUUUCUCAGGGACGAAGAAAGUGACGGUACCUGAGGAAUAAGCCACGGCUAACUACGUGCCAGCAGCCGCGGUAAUACGUAGGUGGCAAGCGUUAUCCGGAUUUACUGGGUGUAAAGGGCGUGUAGGCGGGAAAGCAAGUCAGAUGUGAAACCCAUGGGCUCAACCUGUAGCCUGCAUUUGAAACUGGUUUUCUUGAGUACUGGAGAGGCAGGCGGAAUUCGUGGUGUAGCGGUGAAAUGCGUAGAUAUGAGGAGGAACACCAGUGGCGAAGGCAGUCUGCUGGACAGCAACUGACGCUGAGGCGCGAAAGUGUGGGGAUCAAACAGGAUUAGAUACCCCUGUAGUC